rnacentral:lncRNA from 1 species
AUUUGAAGCAAAAUUUAAAAGUUUCAAAUAGAGAAAUGAGCGCACCAAUUUAUUUUUAUUUUGAAUUUUUUUGUAAAUAUAUUAUUUUUUAGGAAUAUCUUUUUAAAAUAUAAAUGGUUUUUAGGAUUGAUUCGGGGCAGAUCAUCGUUGGGCGGAUUCGAGGUGGAUUCGGAGCGGGUCAAAAUUUUUUCCCUUUUUUGCCCCAAUCUGUCUCGGAUUAUAAAAAUUAUUUCGUUUCUUAUCCCGAAUAUAUUUAUUUCUCUCAGUUUGCUGUCUUAUUUGAGGCGAAUCAGGGUGGGAGCUCCACCAACUU